CUUAUUAAAUCUUUGAAAUUAUUAUUAUCAAUAUAUGUAGAGGGUAAUAUAUUGUUAAAGACAAAAUUGAUUAGUCAUAAAUGAUAUAUAAGGUUAAAAUUGACAACUUAACUAACUUAAUACGGAUGCCUGUUUUAUCGUACAUCUCAAUUUCUCUCUUAAUUAAUUUCUUAUUAUGUUAUCCCCUAUUCUAAAAUUCUUGAUAUAAAAGAUCGGAUGCUUCAUGUUAAUAGACGCAAUGUCUAUUGGUUGUUAUAGUUGGAUACUACCUAUACUCUUCUCUAUUUUUCCCUCCUAAACCCUAACCAUUUUUUCCCGCCUCCUAAACCCUAAACUCAAGUUCGUGUCCAAACGCUCAGCUAAUUUACUUUUCAUUGUUUCAUAUCCUCCAAAGUGUCAGUCAAAGGAUAAAACCUCACAGGUAAAUAAACUCUACCAUUCUUUUUUAUGUUUUGUUAGAAUAUAUUUAAUUUGUUUAUACCAGUUGAUUGGUUGGUUGGUUGAAAUCCUUAAAUAGGUUUGUUUAAUUGUUUAUAUAUAUCAGUUGAUUAACUGAGGACUUUUGUUUAGUUGAUAUAAUUUUAUUCAACAUUUGUUUAUGUGACGUGAAGGUAUUUGGGGGACUUUUUCAAGUUAUUACAAAAUAAUAAUAUAUAUAAUGUUUAAUUAAUUUUAUCAUCAUAUUUGGGACUGCCAUUAUAAUUAUCAAAUCUUAUGUGUUAUGUGUGAUCAAUUUUAUAUAGGUAGCCAACCCUAAUGUAUUUUCUUUUAUCAUUUUAAUUAUUCUUUAAAGUUAUAAUCACUAAUGGACCUUUUCUGUUGUGGUAUUACUUGUUACUUACUCCCCAAAUGACAAGGUUCUAAUUUAGUGGAAUAAGUUCUCCACAAAGAGAUUCACAAAAGACACAAAAACCAUCACAAUUCACACACACAAAAAAGAAAAAAAAGAAAAAAGAGUUGUGCUAAUAGGAUAGUUUUAACAGAGAACUUGCCAUCUGUAGCCAUGCAAAAAGGCCUGGCUUUUCAUCCAUAUAUGGCAAAGGACCUCGACUCCUUUUUUUAUUCUUUUUAAAAUUGAAAGAGAUCUACUAAGAUUGANNNNNNNNNNNNNNNNNNNNNNNNNNNNNNNNNNNNNNNNNNNNNNNNNNNNNNNNNNNNNNNNNNNNNNNNNNNNNNNNNNNNNNNNNNNNNNNNNNNNAAAAUAAUUUCAUUUCAAAAAAUAAAGCUUUUAAAAAUUAUUUUAUAGUGAUUUUUAUGUACUCCUUCAAUUCCAAAAUAUAAUAUCAUUAUUGACUUUUUGAAGUCAACUUGAGAUAUUUUUUAAAUUCAAAAUUGACAUAGAUUCAUUUAGUUUUAGUCCAUAAAAAAAAGGUUUUAACUUGAAACGGAGAAGGUAUUUCUAGUUUUUUUUUCUAAAUUUAUAUUUUGUGAAUAUCUCAAUAUUUCACAAUAAGUAUCUCAUUCGCCAUUAAUUGUUUUGUUUUACAAAAAGAUUUCUUUUUUUUUAUUAAUAACAAUAUAUAUAUAUAAUAUGACACAAUAUCUUUAAAUUCGUGUACAUAUUUUCAUUAAAUCUCACUAUUAUUAAACUAACAACUUUAUAUUUAAUGAUAAAUAUAAAAUAAAAAUACUUUAUUAAUAUUUGUAUAUAUUACAAAUUAGACUAUUUUUAUGUAAUGUACGGAUAAAAAAAUUAUUGUUUAUAUUUAACCAUAUUAAGGGGUGCGUCCGCCCCUUCUUUUCCGGCACUUUUUCCCUGUCCAGUAAAACUCAUUUUCAAGAAAAUUUACUGCAAAAACUUGUUGUGUCCUUCAUCUUUGUGCCAGACCUGUUCCACUGUGUUGCUUUCUUUGAUUCUGAUAAUAUAUAUGUAGAAUCUAGGGAAUCGUAUCUCUCUGCUUUAUGCUAUUGUCCAUAUAUAUAUCAUGCCUCCCAGUUCCAUUUACAAAGUUAAUUUGUUCUUGCACUUUUAGAUCAUAAUAUAUACACUGGCUCCCAGGUAGUAGUAAUUCCAUAUAUACAAGUAAGAUUAUGGAUUACCCAAAUUAGAAGCCGAUAUAUAUCCUUUUCAUUUGAUUAUGGAUUAGCUAUACUUCUUUUUUGAAGUGUGAUUUCUUUUUUCUUUUUUAAUUAAGUUGACAUACACAUACAUAGUUUAUUAAAAUAUUAGGGCAACAAAAUAGUGACUUGACAGUAUAAUAUUUGGUUUGCUAAAACAUAAAUAAAUUUUUAGACUCAGAAAAAAAUUAAUAGAAUUCAUAGAACCCUUCACUAACAUGCAUUCCACGUACUCUUGACAAUAUUGUUACAUAACUUGAACAUGUAAUUAUAUGGUGGAUUAAAAAUAAUCAAAUAGCUAGGAAGUUUGUUACUCAUAUCUAAUUUAUAUUUAUUUUCGUUUGUUUACUUUUAAUUUGAGUGCAUUCUUGGAAAAGUUUGAAUUAUUACCCAAUCGACUUCAAUCAAAUUAAAAUAUAUUUAGCUAUAUUCUAAUUUAUAUUUAUUUUCGUAUGUUUUCGCUUGAUUACUUUUAGUUUGAGUGCAUUCUUGACAAAAUUUGAAUUAUUAAUCAAUCAAAUUAAAAUAAGAGUGUUAUUAGAGCAAAUAUACAUUUUGUGACAUUUUUAUAGUUAUUUUAACGACACUUAAUACUUUAAAACUAUACAUAUAUUUUUUGCCUUGUUGUGUAUUGUAAAAGUUUACAAACGUAUUAUAAUAACAACAUAUAUACAUAUAUUGAGAUAUGAUCUCUCUCUAAUUUAUAUUAAUCACAAUCCAAAUUUAGUAUAUAUUUGUUGACAAAUCCCCAUGCACGUGUUUUUGACCCUGCCCCACAUCUAUCUCGAGUUAUUUUCUAUUUAGUUAUCUACUACUCAAAUAUCAUACGGUGUCAAAUUAUCUAUCAAUUAAGAUUAGCUAAAUCAUUGAUCACUGAUCAAAAUCAGAUGUUAUAAAAAAUGUGAAAAUAUGAUAAAAAAAAUAAUAAUAAUUAAAUCCUUGGUGGUAAACAUUAAUAACAAGCUGGUGUUUGACCAUGUCCCAUGCCUAUUUGGAGUUAUAUAUUUUGAUAUCAAAUAUUAAAAUAUAUAUGGUAUCAAAUUAUCAUUCAAUUAAGCAUGAGUAGAUUAUGAGUGGCCAGCGACACAACCAAAAAAAAAAUUGAAAAAAAAAGAGAAAAAAAAGACAGCAAAUAUGAAUUCAUAUAUAUUUGAGGCAAUAUAAUAGUAUUUUGUUUUAUAAAAAAUAAAAAUAAAGUGCAAAAGAAAAAUGUAAAAAAUCUUGAAUCUACUCGGAAAACCACCCCAUCUACCCAAACUAUUCAAGUAUGUUACUAUUAUUUUCAGUAAUAACAAAAACAAAAAGUUUUUUAAUGAUGUUAAUAUAAUAACAAGAGUAAUUUACAUAACAAAUUUUUAGACUUAUUUUCUAGUCCUUCCCUCAAAAAUACGUGUUCUAAUAAUUAUAAAUUUAAAGACAUAAUUCAAAACUAAAAAAAACAAAAGAUUGCUCAUUUUUCUAUGGGGAAAUUGAAAUAAUAAUGACCAUAAAAAAGUAAAAGGUCCUUUAGUAACUAUUUCUAAAGACAAAAACACAAUAACUUGCAACUUAAUUAGUUGCAACCACAAUCCGUAGAUAAGUACUAAUAAUAAUAAUAAGUCAAAAAGAUGGCAAGCUUCCAAGACACUUUCCUUCUGUCUUUGAUAGAACAUAAAGCUAGCUUGGUGAAUAAUUAGUAAUAGUAAAAGUAGAAAAGUUGUCUGUUUUUUUCCUUUGAUUAAAAGUAAAGUGAUUUAAUCAAAGAAAAAAACAGACAACUUUUCUUCAUUUACUUGUCUGUUUUUCCCUUUGAUAAAGUCUAGAGUGGAGUAACAUAUGAUCCUCACUAAGAUAUUCACGUGUUGUACCCUGUUUGUUUUAGCUUUACUCGAGAGCUUUUAGCUUCUAGCUUUUAAGUAUAAAAGUUAAAAGUUGAGUACAAGUACUUAAUGCAUAAAAAACUUAAAAGCUAAAGUCAUCUAUUUUGGUGCUUCUCAAAUCAACUUCUCAACUCUUAAUAAAAUAUUUUUUUUUUAUCAAAAUACCUUUAAUUUCAAUUGAUAAAUUACACAACUAUAUAUAUGUUAUAAUAAUACUACAUUUUUAAUAGUAAUAUAUAUUAUUAUUUUUAUAAUUUGUUUAGAUUAAAUAUUGAUAAAACUUGAUUGAAUUUUUUUCUUCUAUUCUCUCUUCUUAAUUUAUCUCUAACUAAAAAAUCUAGACCGACUUUCUCUCUUGUUUUCCCUAUAAUUUUGAGUGAAGUUGGAAACAAAAUCAUCAACAAAAAUUGCAGAUCUGCACAUAUUUGUACGCCGCAAGAUGAUUAUCCGCGACGACUUUUCAUAUUGGAGUCAUUUUUGUUAUCUUUAUUUGAGGAAUAAUUACGGUGUAUAUUAGUUUUUGAUUACGAUUGACUCAUGUAUUUAUCAACUGUUUUGAAGGAAUUAUGUUUGUAUUUUCAAUCUUAAUAUAUUUUAGUCAAUUUUGGACUGUUUAAAAAAAAGAACUUUGAUUGGGAACCACGGAAAAAGAUAUAAAUAAAUAAAUAAAUAAAUCCUCGGUUUGACCGUGUUGCAUGCCUUUAUGGAAUUAAUUUUAUCAUUCGAUCAAAAUUUGAAGGGUGAAAAAUGUAUUUUAAGGCUAUAACUAUCCUUAUAAAUGUGGGUAUAAAUCUCUCUCUCUCUCUCUCUCUCUCUCU
rnacentral:lncRNA from 1 species